ensembl:lncRNA
AGCUUGGGGCAGGUGACAGCAGCCACAUCUCCCAUGUGUGCCUACGAGAGAGAUGAGAAAGAGAGGAGUGGAAGAGUGGAAGCAGGGGGCUGAGAGUGCCCAGGUUCUGCCAAUGAGCAGCUGUCUGAGCACUAUAAAAGCUGACUGGUGGUGUGAUGGGGCUUGAUACCUUGGGAAGGUGCUUGUUGUUAUGGUCUGGGAUGCUGCCAGGUGGCUCUUGGUCAAGGAGGAAGAGCAGGAAGACUGGUUCCUGGCUUGGUACUUCAAGAUGCAGUGGGGGAGUGGUUUUCCCAUUGUUUCUUCUAACCGCUGCUCUAUUUUUGUUCAAAACGCUCCUUUGCCUUGAGGAAGCUGUGUCACCAGAUGUCCCUGAUGCUGCUCCCUGAUGAACCAGAGCUGUGGGCAAUGGAGAUGAAUCCAGCCUGGCAUAGCAGCCUGUUUGAUGCCCGUUGGGAAAUGACAAUGACUGGAUUCAGCACCCAGCAGGUGCAGCUCUGACUCAUUUGCACUCACUGAGCACCUGUGGGUGUGCACCCAAGGAUUGCUGCUGCAUGGUGUGGAGCCUGAGGGCUGCUUCCCUUGCAGAGGUGCUUCUUGCUCUCCUGCCCCACUCUCUGCUAGGAGUGGAAGUGGGAAGGAUUUAAGGUAUCUCAAAGAGGAACAGGAUGACCUGAGCUCCAAGCAGAGAUUGUAUGAGAUUUAUUUCUAAAGGAUAACUUGAAACAUUUAGUAAUACUUUGUUUUAUCUUCCACCUCGACACAAAUUGUCAUUGUGCAGUAAUGGGGAGAAGCAAUAAAGGCUCUCUGCAUUUCCUGCUCUGCACAAUGACCUGCAGCACCUUUCCUUGUGAAGAUUUCUAAUGCAAAGCUUUGUGGAGGACAGAGCCUGGCUUGGGUGUGAAGUGCAAACCCAGACAAUGUGAGAUGCAGAGCUGAGGCAGCAGAAGGGGGUGCAAGGUGCUGGGGUCCCAUGGUGCCCAUCCGUUGUGUGCGGGUGACAGCAUGGGCUGGGUGUGUGGAGGAAGGGGGUAUGGAUGUGGGCAGAGCAGCAGUGUUGGCAGCUGGAGAAGCUUCCCAGCAGGGCACGGGGUUUUGCAGUGCUCGCAGCUAUUUCCCAGUGCCCUUCUGUGCUCUCACCACCUGGCUCUGGCACACGGCAGCUGCGGUGCAGCCCCUUUACAGCUGUUUGCAUAAGACCUGCUCAUCACUCUGUGAUCCUCUCCCUGCCCUUGCCACAGCAAAAUAGCUCUCUGGGUGGUGAUGUGUGCCCAUCUUCUCAGCUGUGUGGCUUUGAGCAGAGCUGCCAAUGCUUUUUAGGCAAGAAAAACUGCUUCGAGGAAGCCUGGCUCUGCUGCUGUGUGUGUGAUGGGCUCUGGUGACAGAGACCUGUUCCCAGGGUGAGCAGCUGAUGUAAAGUGGUUGCGUACAGAGAUCAGAUGCAAGAUUGAGCAUAAAGAUCUAUGAAGAGGCAAAACAAACAAACAAACAAAAAAACCCAAACACCUGAAAAAGCCCAUAGGAUGCCCAGUUCCUGUAGAUGGAGGAUGGUAAUAUCAGGCGUGGUGUGGGCAGUGGGUGAGAACAGGGUGUUGGGAUAAGGAGGAGCUCAAUGGACAUGUGGGUGUGGGCGGUGCCUGGCCCGGCAUGGACUGAACCCAUCCACCUCUUCAGCCUUAGUUUGAACAAGCAGUGUGCUUCUGCUCUGUAUAAGCAAUUAGCAUCACAUGGCCAUGGUAAUUUUCAUCUGGCACCUGCAUCCCAAAGCCAAUUUAGCAUGAAAAUGCUCAGUGUGUAAACACAAGGAGAAUAGCCUCUUAGCUCCUGGGCCCUCUGUCCUUGGUGUGACAUUCAGUAUUUACAAAGAUUGGGGCUUUUUGUUUUGUUUUCCGCUGCAGCAGGGAACCACACAGAUUUCUCUGAAUUCAAAAGAUGAUGACUUUUUUGAUGCCCAAAAUGACCGCUUCUGCUUGACUAAUACUGGACAAAUAUUGACUCAUGGCUACUACAAGUUGGUUCCUUCACUGAUGAAUGCUCAAGGCUACUUGGAUAAACAAAUGAUUUCUCAUGAAUAUUCUUAUUUUAGCACAUCCCUAGAAUAAUAAUGCAUCCUGUGUAUAUUCUCAUUGUGCUUUUUCUUUUCUUGACAGUUUGAGGUGACAUUGUUAGAAACUUUAUUAGCGCAAAGAACAAGUGUCCCAUUGUCUAUGGUUGGAUAUUAGGAAAGGUUUUUUCUUAGAAAGAAUGAUGAUGCAGUGGCACAGGCUGCCCAGGGAGGUGAUGGGGUCACCAUCCCUGGAGGUGUUCCAGAAACGUGGAGAUGAGGCACUGUGGGAUGGUGGGGAUGGUUUGGUGCUUGGACUGAAUGAUCUUAGUGGUCUCUUCCAAACUUAAUUCCUCUAUCAUUCUCCAGCACCAGGGUUCAGCUGCACAGUCCUUGGUCUCUGCUUGACCAUGAGCAGUGGCAAAACCAGUAAUUAUGUAUGAGAGGGGGAGAUGCAGUGAGGACCUGCUGAACUGAUGGGGUUGAUGUUCCAGGAGCUCCACAAUACGGAGAGGUGACGGGGAGAUGAGAAAGCCAACACCAUAGUCCUGCUUUUCAAAUAUUGAGCUGCAAGCCUAAAAUCCGAACACUUGGGCUAAGGCAAACCUUACCAGUUCCACUGUGAAUCCUAGCAGUGAGGCUUUCUGCCGUUCGUUUCAUCUUCCUUCCAUUGAAACAGCAAUGCAUCUCAUGGUUGGUCAGCUUUGGAGCAAAUGGCUUUCCUUAAUGGGAAGUCACUAAGCAGCUGGGGACGUCUUCUGCUCCUCUGAUGACAGCAGGACCAUUACCUUCGUUUUGCUGCAAUCAGUUACUCCACUUCAAAGUGGCUGGAAACAUCAGCGUCCUGCGUUGGCAUUGCCUUGCAGACACUUUGCAUUGAUAUGGAUGGCCCCACAACUGUGAACUGAUGUGUAGGUGAGGCUGUUAAAAUAAUUUAGCGUAAGCUAGUAAGUAGAAUGAAGUGUUCUAGAAUAGCUCUUCCGGAAUAGCUCCCUGCAAUGAACGUUCAGGUCCAGAAUAAAGAG